UUUCGCAAUGCCCGAAAGGGUGACGAAGCGACGCCGCGUGUGGGAAGAAGGCCUUCGGGUUGUAAACCACUGUCGGGAGCUAAGAAAGGUGUACGGGUAAAUAGUCCGUGCAUUUGACAAAAGCUCCGGAGGAAGCCACGGCUAACUCUGUGCCAGCAGCCGCGGUAAUACAGAGGUGGCAAGCGUUGUUCGGAAUUAUUGGGCGUAAAGAGCACGUAGGCGGCCCUGCAAGUCAGCUGUGAAAGCCUCCUGCUUAACGGGAGAAGUGCAGUUGAAACUACGGGGCUAGAGUGCGGAAGGGGAGAGUGGAACUUCUGGUGGAGCGGUGAAAUGCGUAGAUAUCAGAAGGAACACCGGCGGCGAAAGCGGCUCUCUGGUCCGUAACUGACGCUGAGGUGCGAAAGCCAGGGGAGCAAACGGGAUUAGAUACCCCGGUAGUCCUGGCCGUAAACGAUGGGCACUAAGUAGAGGGGUUUU
rnacentral:rRNA from 1 species